rnacentral:rRNA from 2 species
UGGGGAAUAUUGCACAAUGGAGGGAACUCUGAUGCAGCGACGCCGCGUGAACGAAGAAGGCUUUCGAGUCGUAAAGUUCUUUUAUAUGGGAAGAUAAUGACGGUACCAUAAGAAAAAGCCCCGGCUAACUACGUGCCAGCAGCCGCGGUAAUACGUAGGGGGCUAGCGUUGUCCGGAAUCACUGGGCGUAAAGGGUUCGCAGGCGGAAAUGCAAGUCAGGUGUAAAAGGCAGUAGCUUAACUACUGUAAGCAUUUGAAACUGCAUAUCUUGAGAAGAGUAGAGUUAAGUGGAAUUUUUAGUGUAGCGGUGAAAUGCGUAGAUAUUAAAAAGAAUACCGGUGGCGAAGGCGACUUACUGGGCUCAUUCUGACGCUGAGGAACGAAAGCGUGGGUAGCAAACAGG